rnacentral:lncRNA from 1 species
ACACUACUGCCUGGACAGCGCGGAGCGCAGAGUCCUCAGAGGCCCCGCAGCCGCGGGUUGGUCCCUGCGCGGGAAGCCCGGGAGCUGCCAGAAGAGGAUGGAGGAGAAGCGGCGGCCUCUGAAGAGGGCGGCGACUCGGGAAAGGCUCGAGGGAGCCGGGCGGGCCACCAAAGACGUGGAUCCAGGCCCGGGUCCCAGGCUGUGGCAGGACGCGAGACGGACAAGUGCAGGCCCUCCGAAGGCCUCAACCAGUUCCUCGUCAUCCUCGCUCUCCAGGUCGCUCCCAAGGAAUUUGCUGCCCAGGUAACUGACAGGCAUUUUGCGCAGCCUCCUUCCACGCCCCGUGCCUUUGUGGUCCUUGUCAUCCUUGUCUCUGGAGGUUUCAAAGUCGCUGAACUCGCUGUCACUGGCAUUGCUGCUGUCAUAAGUACCCACGACCAGCCGAGGAGGUGGCGUCACCAUCUGCGGGACUCUCCUCCUCGAUCCGGGCUCCUUGGGCUUUUUAGGGGGCUGGGGCGGGUGGGGGGUGCUCUUCUCGAUGAUGCGGGCCACAUCCUCCAGGGUGCGGCCUUCUUCCUCCAGAAACUGGAUCAGCCGCUCCCGAAAUUCCGCCUCCUUGGUGGCGGGCUUGGAGAUAACCCUCCAGACGCCUCCCGCCAGCCUGACCUCGCGGGGGAUGAGCAAAUAGUCUACGUCCUCGCCGAUCUGCAGCAUCCCCACCGUGGAGUCCUCCUCGCGGCGGAACACCUUGCCGAUCUUCUUGAAUGUCCCCACCGGCUUCAAGGCUUCCACGAGGACGUCCAAAUCCACAUCUUUGCAGAUGUCGGGGACGCUCCAGAGGAUCAGGCAAUCAGGGGAAGGGAGGAAGCCCCAGGGGAACCAGCCCCCCACGUGGCUUUUCUCGAGGGUCUUUAAGAUCUCCAGGGUGAAAUCUAAAGUGCGGGCAAGGAGCCCAAACUACUCGCAGCGCCGAGUCUUGGGGUGGGGAUGCGGUCCCAAGAGCGCGGCCGGGAAUCUCACCUCCCAGUUUCUCUGCCCGCAACAAGUCGGGUCGUGAUCCAGUUCGCUCCCCUCAAGGACUGGUGGGAAUCGAUUCAGGGUGCUUACGUGAGUCGGAGUCUCAAGGUUCCAAGCCCGCCGCAAGCUGUAAAUGGGUGUCCCGGCUCCAACUCAGUGUAAGGACUGCUGGUGGCUCUUCCUGUGCCAGGCACAGGGGACGUCCCUGGAACUUGGGAAAGGACUUUGCAGACAAAGACGGCUCAGCUGUGGCUGUUCAAUAUGGCCGAGGCUCUUGGAGGCCGCAGCCAGCUCCCCAGGAGGGUCUCCCGCCCCUAGGCAGGCUGCCACCUCGGUCCAGGCUGACCUUGACGCGCCUCCGCCCCCAGCCUGCGCGCCCAGGGCCGGCGAGUGCGCGCGCGGGCAGGAAGUUCCUCCUCGCCUUCCCCCUGGAUGAGGCCCACCUUCUCCCUGCUCGGCUUACACUCCCGGACUCGGGGAAGACUGACAGGGGGGCUGUCCACUCCCCUUGGGGCGCCCUCGCCGCCCUCCCCCCCAGGGGUGUGGCUGCGCCCCGGGCCUCUCAGGGGCCCCGGCUUCCAAGCCAAAGGCCUGCGGUGCCGACGCCCACGUCAGCAGCUUUCUCUGAGAAAGGCAGCAGUUCCCGAAACUACCGUCCCAAAAGUGCGGGUUCCAGCCCAGCCCUGAAGGUGGGCGCGCUCAUCAUCGGGCAAUCCCUUGGAAAGCCACUGACAGUAUAGUACCAUCUUAAAAUUAAGUGACUUUGGGUACCGGCAGUUCCUAGCCAUAUACCCAGACAUGUGGGUGAAGAACCUGGUAUCAAGGUCUUAUUGCAGCUCAUCAUGGGGCUUGGCACAGAGUAGGUGCUCAAGAAAUAUUUUUGAGUGAAUGAAUGCACCUAAUUGUUCACCGGUAGGGACUAACGGUGAAAUACUAGGCCGUUAUGAAAAAGAGAAGUGACUGAGAAUAAACACAUUUUAGGGAGCACUUCCUACGUACGAAGGACCAUGCUAAGUGCUUUUUAUAAAUUAACUCAUAAAAUUCACACAAAAACAUCAGGAUACAGAUAAUACGAUGCUCAUUCCCAUUGUACAGCUGAGGAAAUAAAAUCAAUCUCUUGCUCAAGGUCACAUGGCCAGGAAGAAGACUGAACCUGGAUUUGAUUCUGAAACAGUCUAAUGUGUGUGUAGACCAAAGGGCCUAGGUGUAUACAUACAUUUGUCAUGUGUAGAAGCACUGCCAACAGUGGCUAUAUCUGGGGACCCCGGAGGUGGCUUUUCACUUUUCACAUGACUUUU